UACGUAGGGUGCGAGCGUUAAUCGGAAUUACUGGGCGUAAAGCGGGCGCAGGCGGUUCGUUGUGUCGGCGGGGAAAGCCCCGGGCUCAACCUGGGAAUGGCCGUUGAAACUGGCGAACUGGAGUGUGGCAGAGGGGGGUGGAAUUCCGCGUGUAGCAGUGAAAUGCGUAGAGAUGCGGAGGAACACCGAUGGCGAAGGCAGCCCCCUGGGCUGACACUGACGCUCAGGCACGAAAGCGUGGGGAGCAAACAGG
rnacentral:rRNA from 1 species